AGUGAACGCUGGCGGUAGGCCUAACACAUGCCAGUCGAACGGCAGCACAGUAAGAGCUUGCUCUUACGGGUGGCGAGUGGCGGACGGGUGAGGAAUACAUCGGAAUCUACUUUUUCGUGGGGGAUAACGUAGGGAAACUUACGCUAAUACCGCAUACGACCUACGGGUGAAAGCAGGGGAUCUUCGGACCUUGCGCGAUUGAAUGAGCCGAUGUCGGAUUAGCUAGUUGGCGGGGUAAAGGCCCACCAAGGCGACGAUCCGUAGCUGGUCUGAGAGGAUGAACAGCCACACUGGAACUGAGACACGGUCCAGACUCCUACGGGAGGCAGCAGUGGGGAAUAUUGGACAAUGGGCGCAAGCCUGAUCCAGCCAUACCGCGUGGGUGAAGAAGGCCUUCGGGUUGUAAAGCCCUUUUGUUGGGAAAGAAAAGCAGCAGGUUAAUACCCCGCUGUUCUGACGGUACCCAAAGAAUAAGCACCGGCUAACUUCGUG
rnacentral:rRNA from 1 species